UACAGAGGUCUCAAGCGUUGUUCGGAUUCAUUGGGCGUAAAGGGUGCGUAGGCGGCGCGGUAAGUCGGGUGUGAAAUCUUGGAGCUUAACUCCGAAACUGCAUUCGAUACUGCCGUGCUUGAGGACUGGAGAGGAGACUGGAAUUUACGGUGUAGCGGUGAAAUGCGUAGAUAUCGUAAGGAAGACCAGUGGCGAAGGCGGGUCUCUGGACCGUAACUGACGCUGAGGAGCGAAAGCAUGGGGAGCGAACAGG
rnacentral:rRNA from 1 species